CCUACGGGUGGCUGCAGUAAGGAAUAUUGGUCAAUGGACGCAAGUCUGAACCAGCCAUGCCGCGUGGAGGAUGAAGGUCCUCUGGAUUGUAAACUUCUUUUAUCUGGGACGAAAAAAGAUUUUUCUAAGUCACUUGACGGUACCAGAUGAAUAAGCACCGGCUAACUCCGUGCCAGCAGCCGCGGUAAUACGGAGGGUGCAAGCGUUAUCCGGAUUCACUGGGUUUAAAGGGUGCGUAGGCGGACAUAUAAGUCAGGGGUGAAAUCCUGCAGCUU
rnacentral:rRNA from 1 species